CCUACGGGGGGCAGCAGUCGGGAAAAUUUUGCAAUACACGAAAGUGUGACAGAGCAAGCCAAAGUGAUGUUCUAUAAUUGAACAUCUUUUACGGGAUGUAAAAAGUCCCGCGAAUAAGGACUGGGCAAGACUGGUGCCAGCCGCCGCGGUAAUCCCAGCAGUCCAAGUCGCAGCCACAUUUGUUGGGUCUAAAAUAUCCGUAGCUUGUCUUUCAAGUCUCUUGUGAAAUCGGGCCUCUUCAGGGUCCGGCAGGCAAGAGAUACUGAAAGACUUGAGACCGGGAGACGUCGUGAGUACUGUACGGGUAGCGGUUAAAUGUGUUGAUCCAUACAGGACUAUCAAUAGCGAAGGCACGCGACGAGAACGGAUCUGACAGUGAGGGAUGAAGGCUAGGGGCGCAAAGUGGAUUAGAUACCCCGGUAGUC
rnacentral:rRNA from 1 species